AAUUUCAAUAGGGCUGAGAUGUUUUGGAGCAUGGUAGAUGGGCAUCACUCCUACUGAGGCUUGCAGGCAAAGAGGAAGACAGAUAUUGACAUUUCUCAGCACUGGUACAUGUGCUGCAAGUCACCUAUUGGUCAGUUGUAAGAGCAGGUGCAGGACAGUGUAUAUACAAGUCAACACUGGGAGAGGCACAUGUAAGAGCUGAGGGCUUAUAGCAAGGCUUGGGCAAAGCAAGGGGUAUGGUUGAGCCAGAAAGUCUAUGAGAAUGAAAAGGCCAGGGGUAGAACCUCAGGCCUCAGAUCUUGGUUAAAUCCUAAAAACUACUCAUUGUGCUUCUGUUGCAGACAAUGCAUAGGAGUGAAUGAGACAGAAAGCAAGACCAUGAGGAUGACUAAGAAGAGCAAGUACAACAUGGCUGAGACUAAGUGUCCAGGGAGUUGAGAAUAAGUGGCCUAUUGUCAUGUCCUAUAUAAGUAGAGUAUAUGGAUGGGAGGCCAAGAAUACACCAACAAAUAAAAUAUUGAAUAUAUCGGUCAAGGGCAUAUCGAGAUGAUCAGGAUGCUGCCUAUUGGAAUGUUUAUCCUCCCACCCUACCCCAGAAGAGGAGCUUCUCGUCUUGUUCACCGCUGUUUCCCAGCUCCUGGAAGAGCCUGGCACAUAAAAGGUGCACAAUGAACAUUCAUUAAAAUCAAUGAUUAAUUGAACUGGCUAGUAUUCCAUCUCACUUUCAUUACUGGAGAACUGAAGAGCCAGCUAGCCUACAAAAACUCAUUCUGGAUGUAGAAGCAAUAAGAAAACAUGCAUUCAAAUAAAAGCAGAGAAUCCUUCUAAUAUUUCUUCAUGUGUCUAUCUUUUCCCAUCCCCAACACAUUUAUUUUCCUUGACCUACAAAGGAUCUGUUUUGUCCAUGAUGAGUCCCAAAAACAGCCCUCAAAGUGGUUCUCCCCACCUACCCCACUCCACUGAUGCUGCAUCACAUGGUAGGGUGUUGCCUUGCUCCUCCAUGCAGGGAGCUUUUCUCAGCACCACUAAGGUACCAGGGAAGUGGUAACUGGGAACAAUUUUCCCCAAUACAGAUAAAGCCUAGAUAAAAAGUAGGGUGAUACAUAGGCAAGGGGUAGAUGGGGCCUUCCUAGAGGACACUAUGUCUUCCUGAAUUUAGUCCAUUCAUAAUCAACAAACCAGCCCUACUGAUUUAAUGCCUAGGCUCUGCUGCCUGACUAUAUUUAGCAAAGCUUUUGAAUGGCAGAGUGAUUUCCUAUAGGAAUACUGAGUUUUUUCCAGGGACAGAUGUAGCCUUGGUACAUUGUCUGGUUAUGUAGGAUUUUUUUUUUUUUUUUUUUUUUUACUGCACUUGUGCUGUUCUCCUUUUUUCAACUUAUAGCUGGAGACCGUUUUCUGCUACCUCAAAACCUUUUUGAAAUUAACCAGUAAUAAAUAAGAUCUUUCUCUAUAGACAGCUUUUUUCAAAGGAAUAAAAGAAUUAGAAAAUAUGGAGGAUCCAUAGUAUGCACGCCUUUGGUUCCUGAGCCUAACAUGGUGACUUGCUCACAGCCUCACUGGAUAGAUACUGGUUAGAUAAAUGAAAGCAUUCAUUAAUCAAUGUGAUGUGAAGAAUUUAGAUAAAUGAUUCCUAUUUCUCUCAGUCUAACAAGGGGAAAUAGUCCAAUAAACAUAUCUGUAAGUUUAAUAGAAUUUGUAAGUUCCUUUGAAUAUUUGGAAAUCUAUGAUUUCAUUUUUAAGACACACAGAAUCUAUUAUGAUAGAGCACUGAAUUUUAUUCAGUUAGGUAAUUUUGUGCCUCUUAUUUUUAACCAGUUUGGUGUCUUUCUUGUGCUUUUCACUAUAGUAUUCAUGGAUCCUAUUAACAGUAAAGAAAGUGGCAGACGCCAGGCAUGGUAGCUCAUGCCUGUAAUCCCAGCACUUUGAGAGGCUGAAGCAGAAUUAUUUGAGGCCAGGAGUUCAAGACCAGCCUGGGCAACAUAGUGAGAACCUUUUUGUUGUUACUGUUGUUGUUGUUUUUUAAAGAGAGAGUAGAGAUACUAGGUUACUCCGUGGUGAGGCUUGGGAUGGUGGUGGGAAUGGAGUGGAGGAGGGACUUCCUUCCCAAUGACUAGAUAUGUCUUAAUUUGUAAGACGGCUCUCUCCCAUGUGACUUUCUCUCCUCUACCUAUGUCAACUUUGUGUUGGGAGUGUUCAGGACAAUAUGUGAAUGGAAAAUUCAUAAAUGAAUGUACCAAUAGAAAUAAAGAUACAUGUGGGUGUUGCUUUUUCACUUUUUCAAUGAA
rnacentral:lncRNA from 10 species